GUUAUGAACACAGUUCAUUUGAUUUGCUCAGGCGAAGGGUACGAGCCUCGUCUUCCCCAAUUGUUGCUUCGAUUUCACCAAUUCUACUCAACCGCCUCCAUUCGAUGCAAAACAUGCCUGCAAUUUUCCUGAGAUCGCGCAUCAGAUCUUCUUCGCAUUCUCCAAAUUGCGCAUUGCGAACCUUCUCCAUUCGCUCUCUGUUCAGUUCCGCCACUCCAUCGACAUCCCAGUAUGAAGUCCCGAAACCCUCUCGCAUUCGCAGCUGUGGCUUCGUCGCUGGUUCCUGUUCACGGUUGGGUGCAGGUUGGGUGCGUCAUUUGGAGGAGGCAUUGGGGAAAAGCAGCUGCCCGGUGCGUUUCGGGGGCUUGCGACUGUUCGCUGCACAACCCACCAUCGAACCCGCGACCUCCGAUGGCCUGACGGUGGAGGGAAUCAUUUCCAAUCAGUGGACGAUCCUCGAAGAGAGCGAGAGCGAUUGGAAGAGCCAUGCCGCCGCCAUCGCUCAGUCCAUAAGCUUAAUCAAGCGGCGCUUGCAGUGGAAGAAAAUGUUGGUGAGGUUGGAGCUGUUGUCAACACAAUUGGAUAAGCUGGACCUUUGGGAUGAUCCUCAACAUGCUGGAAAAAUAAGCCGUGAACAUGGUAACCUCAUGGGUAAGAUGAAGGAGGUGAUGGAAUUCGAACAGGAGUUGCUUGAGCAUAUUGACAUGAUAAAGCUUGCUCGGGAAGAUAAUGAUGCCGACUUGGAAUCGGAAUCAUUGAAAGCUUUGCUCAGGAUGAGAAGAUUUUCAAAAGAGAAAGAGCUUGAAGCUUUGUUAGCUGGAGAGCAUGAUUCUUGCUCUUGUUUCAUAGAGGUGCAAGCAGGAGCUGGGGGCACUGAGAGCAUGGAUUGGGCUGCAAUGGUUAUGAAUAUGUACAAAAUGUGGGCUCAACACCGAGGAUACGGAGUAACUGUGGUGGAUGAAAUGCCUGGUGAGAUUGCGGGAAUCAAGCGAGCAACAAUUAAAGUGGAUGGUGAAUAUGCAUUUGGAUACGCCAAGGCUGAAGUAGGUGUGCAUAGGUUGGUACGAAUCUCACCAUUCGACAGUAACAAACGGCGACAUACUUCAUUUGCUGCUGUUGCUGUAAUUCCAAUCUUGGGUGAGGGGUUUUCCCAUGUGCAAAUAAAUGAAUCUGAUCUUCGAAUUGAGAGAUUUCGAGCUGGGGGAGCUGGCGGACAGCAUGUUAACACAACCGAGAGUGCUGUGAGAAUAGUUCACAUUCCUACUGGAGUAACUGCGACUUGCCAAAAUGAGAGAUCACAACAUCAAAACAAGGCUUCAGCAAUGGCGGUGCUCCAGUCUCGGUUGGACCAGCUUGAGAUGGCCCGACAGGCUCAGAUGAAUGCACAACAUACACAAUCUCUUACAGAGAUAAGUUGGGGCAACCAAAUUCGUUCCUAUGUCCUUCACCCUUACCGGAUGGUCAAGGAUCUCCGGACUAACUAUGAGGUUUCUGACCCUGAUUCCGUCCUAGAGGGAGAUCUGGAUGGGUUCAUCUUGAGCUACUUGUCAGACUUGAUGGACAAAGAUGAAGCCAGCCCAUGAAUCUAUCUAAUUGGUUCUCACUCGAGUUUUGGUCCUGCAGCAGAGAUGACUACAUCCUGCAUCCCUAGCAAGGACAAAUUCAUGAUUGGCACUAGGGUGUGGGAAAAUGGGCCUCAGCUGCAUCUUAAGUUGUGGUACAUGCUGAAAGAUUCUAGCUUCUUAUACACUGUCUUCGGAUGACUAAUUUUUUGUCAACAGCCAUAGCAGUUGAAGUGGUUCUCGACUUGACGACCAGAGUAGCAUAUAUUUUUCCGUGUAAAUGGCAGCAAAUGGGUGAAGAAAACUAGCAGAAUCAGACCUCCGCAUAUGAUGUCACCACAUAGCUGGGUAAGUGAUGAAGAUAUGUUAGGCGCCUUUUGAUGAAGCAGGAUUCGCUUCUUCUUCGUCUUCUUCCUUUUUUUCAGUUUGCCUUACCGAAUCCACCUUUUCCAAGUGGGUAGAGAUUUGAUCUUGAUGACCCAAGAAUGUUGGACGUUCUUGGUUUUAUGAGCUCUUGUAUGAACAAAUGACUUAGCUGCUUAACUUGUGAAGUUUCUCGCCACACGAUCAUUCAAGUGCAAUGUGCUGGAGACUUUAGUUACUCUCAAAAGGCUAAAUUUCAUGCC